rnacentral:misc_RNA from 1 species
AGUGUCCUCUGUGAAUGUCAGAUUCACAACAACAACACAAUAACUCAAACACGUGCACGCGCAUGAGCCAGCACCAGGACGUGUUGACGGCAGCUUUCUUGCGGGCACAUGGGGUCGCACUGUCGAAGCCGCUGCGCGAUUGGCUGACGCGAGUCUCGUUCUUAGCGCGGGCUCAGACAUCUGUUGAGAAAAAGGAGAAGUAUGAAAGGUGGGCUCUGCGCGCGGUGGAGGAUGCCGUGAAGUCGCCGGGUGGUGUGGCAGCCAUCAUGUGGGCCAAGCAAAGCGUUAUAAUGCCGCCCGAUUCGCCUGACUGUACGUCGGAGUGGUGGCAAGAGAGUCGCCGCGCCUGUGCAGCCUCCUCGAGUGGCACCGCCGCUACUUACGAGAAUCCCACGCGAGCGGCGCUGCUGGCAGAGACAAUGCGACGCGCCCCAGCGUCGCUGCAGCCCUUUGUGCAGCAGGGCUUCAGCCUCUACGACAGAGAAGUGGCCCUCGGUCACCGCCGCUACGAGCAGGUCACCUUUGUAGAAAUGCUCAAUAUCGCUAAGAGCCUGCAAGCCAAGGCGUCUCCAGCGCCCGUGCCGUCACCGGCCCCGCCACCUCCCUCACAGCCGCCGCCACCAUCGUACAACGCGUUGAUGACCCCGACAGCAGCCAUCACGCGCACCGCUUUCGUACCGCCAACCUUGCACAAGAGGCCCGCGCCGGAAGCCGUACCGCACGAGCCUCCACACAAGCGAGCUGUGCCAGCCACCGCACCUGCUGUGUCGCGGAAGGAUAAGACGUUCUUCUUCCAGCUUGCUGGUAUCACGGACGCUGAAGUCGCCGCCCCGCGCGAAUUUAUCGGGAUGUCGACGGAGCUGGAGCGGCAUUACACCCGCUACGAGCCCCUGGUCGAGGACAUUCGCCCCCUCGCGGUGUUGAAGGACGCGUACGCGCACAUUACCACGCACGCCACGGGCUUGGAGAAGACGGAAGGCAAGAAGGCUGCACAGAAGUACCUGAGUGAUCAGCUCAAGGGCAUGCGGCAGGAUCUGCGAGUGCAGAACAUUGUCGACAACUUCACCGUCAUGGUGUAUGAGGUGCACGCGCGGCUCUGCCUGGAGACUGGCGACAUUGGCGAGUUCAAUCAGUGCCAAGCAGGUCUGAAGCAGUUCUAUGCAAUGGACGCAGUUGACCUGAGUCAGUGCGAUGUGAAGAACUUCUUUCUCUACCGCCUGGUGUAUCUGACGCUGAGCGGACAGUACGACUCUCUCUCUACGGAGCUCAUUCACUUCACCAACGCUCAGCUGCAGGGUACCGACCGGGCUGGCAGCAGCAUCGCCAGGGAGCCGGUUAACCGCACCCUCGCUCUCUGCGCCGCGUGCAACGACGGCGACACGCCGUCGCUAUGCCGUCUUCUGCUCAGCUUCGAGGUCGAAAUGACGUACCUCGUUCGUAUCUACUUGCAGAAAUUGCGGAUCAUGUGGCUCAAAGAAAUUCUCACCGCCAUGAAGGGAUCGCUCACGCUACGCUUUCUGAUGGCCAGCCUCGGCUUCACGCCACUUCCUCACGGCAAGAAGAAGCGGCAGCUGUUCUGGUUGGACGACGCGGAGGAGAGCGCCGCGCUUCGGUUUGCCGAGCUCUUUCAAACACUCAAGGUGGAGCUGCCGCCGGACUUCUCCUUUCACGCAGAGGUCACCCGCGCAAAGCACACCGGGUCAGACCCACAGGCGCACUAUCCGUCCCUCGACGCUGCCACUGCCCUGAAAGCGGUCAACGACUACCUCGUGUUCCUUGGGACACGCAAAGACGCCGCCCGCACAUAGGCGACACGCUUCUCUGUUGGUGUGUGCCUCCCCCUCUCGCCAUCGCCCCUCCAUCAUCACGGCACAGGGGAGGAGGUGGGAGUGCAUCGUCUGCGAUAGAGACGAUUAAUCACGCAAGCAACAUUCACUGUGGCGCUCUUGGGCGGUGGAUGUCUUAACACAGAUGGUCGCUAACUCGUGCAGCGAGACAAGCCGCAGCGCGCCGUCGCUUUUCUGCCCUUCAGCGCUCCCCCUCCCCUUCGCGGCGACGGGGCCAUUUUCUCGGUCGGAGCUGGAUUACCACAACUCCUUCUUUUACUGCCCUCCCAUGCAGCGGGGUUAUACCGUCUCUCCAUCCAUACCUCCUACGCACCCGCCUCUUUCUCGUGAAUACCCCCUGUGGUCAGCCAG